rnacentral:miRNA from 1 species
GUGCCAAGCUUUCAAGUGUUGA